rnacentral:lncRNA from 8 species
UGGGGGGGUGGGAUAACCAAAAUAUUCUGCUUUAUCCCAAUGUUAUGCUUUCAAAUGAAACAAAAUAUCUUGCUCUUGUUAAAGCUUCUAGAAUUGAUUUGUUCGUUACACUCUCUCUGUCCCGUAUAUCUGCACUCAGUGGUAGAAAUCCCAGGAAAGUACAGGGUGUCAACACCAGCCUGAACAAACUGGUAAUCACAUCUGACAAGCUUCCCUCUGAUGACAAGUGUGACUACAUAGGGUACCAAAGGGUCGAGCCACACUGGCAACCCAGUCAGGAAGUAAUACCCUGGAGAAUCUUGCUGUCUGUUCAUGGUUACCCAUAGUGACAAAAGAGGAGAUACACCACAUAGGCCGGAAGGGGGGGAAGAAGCGAUGCCAGAUGCUGGUCUUAUUCAGCCCCUGAUGGUUCAACCUGUCACUCUCACACAGUCUAAGUGAUGCCUUAGAGCCAACACAAAAGCAAUCCUUUCUCCUCUUAUCGAUUGACCUGCCCAGUGGACAAUGACUGCUACCUACCUCCAAAUUCACAGAGCUAACUCUUGUUAUAGUGUUUUUUUUUCACAUUGUUUGAUGUAGAAGGCAAACACUUUAAACAAUUCCUUCUGCACAAUAGCUUGGAUAGAGGAAGCAUGGCAUUGACUGUUGUAUACUGGAUCUAGGCAUGACUCCUCAAUGUGCAUAUUCUGAGCACUACUUCAAAAGUAUAUGACUCGCUUGCAGUGAUGUGAAAAACAUGUCUAUGUUAUACUGUCUGCAUUCAUUUUUUUUAUAUAUAUAUUUUUUAUUUUACCCUUAUUUUACCAGGUAAUUUGACUAAGAACACAUUCUCAUCUACAGCAACGACCUGGGGAAUAGUUACAGGGGAGAGGAGGGGGGAUGAAUGAGACAAUUGUAAACUGGGGAUGAUUAGGUAGCCAUGAUGGUAUGAAGGCCAGAUUGGGAAUUUAGCCAGGACACCAGGGUUAACACCCCUACUCUUACGAAUGAUACUACACUGGGUAAUGCAUUUCUUUCUAUAAAUAUUUAACAUACAGUAUAUACAAAUUUUCCCUUUAAUCUCAGUGUAUAGGGGACCCAUUUUGACUGGUCAGCGAGCGACGCUGCAUCGUUAUGUUAAAUAAUAGAAACGCCGGCACGACAGACGGGCUCCUAAUGGCUCUGAGCUGACAGCACACAGCUGCAAGGCAUUCUGGGAUAGAUGAGGUGCGUGGAUACCUGCGAAAAGGUUACUGACGUGGUAACCAAGGGAUACCGCUUAUGCAGCACAUCUGAAGGUUAAUAAACUCUCUCGGCGUGUGUAUAUGUGUAAUGUAGUGUGGACAAAGUGAUAUUCACUCAAGGAAGAGGGCAUUGCUCUCAGAUCAGGUGGAAGUGGUCUGAUGGUUUAGCCGGCUUCAAUUUAGCCAGCUAGCACAGUAGCUAACUGGCUAAACCAGCAUGGCAUCGAUCCACUUAAGGAGAUGGUACUUUAUGAACCUCUAGGUUCAUCACAAUGACUUGGUCCCCUGCUACACACACAGUGCCAGGAUACCUCACAGGCCCUGUUAGUCCUCCCAGGGAUGCUAAAUUGCAAAUUGUCCAAUAGAAACUCGGUGAAUGCUCUCAUGCAGUAUUUUAGAUGUAUAAACACUUUAUUAUCCUGGCUCUUCUUCAGGAGACUUUUAUGAUGCUAAUGUGUUCAGAGGGUUGUGUUUUCAUAGGCUGCGUGUGAGAUAUUGCGGUUAUUAAGUUUGGCUUGGUAAUUGAGUCGGUUAACCUUGCGGCAAACAAAAACAAAAAAUGUUUAGAUGCAUGCCAGCAGAGCCACCACACAACACUAAACAAUCCAUUAAUUGCACUAUAACGGCGACAAGCGGUGCCCACAAACUGUUAGGGCCUAAAGCUGUCCCAACAGCAGAGCUUUCCUUUAGCACCAUGGAGUGAAUCCUUACCACUGCUACACCUGGCUAUCAGUGGAGCCUUGUCUGGCAGCAAAACAGUUAAUUCAGCCUCUUUUACUGCCUUUUUCAAAAACAUAGCUGACUUGCUUAAACAAAUUUGGUUUAUAAUGAGAUGCCAAUUGAGAUGUACAAACUAUGGCCUAAGGGAACGAUGAGCGUAAAAGAGGCAUUCAGUAAUUUCGAUUAAAACAUUAAUGAGCGAGCGACGACGGACGUAGUCAAAAAUAAUUAUGUGUUCAGCACUUUUGAAAUGUACAGCGACAGAAUGCAGAACAUGGGUUGUUCUUACAGUAUUUUCCCUGUACACCAAGUCAGAACCGUGGGAUAAAUAAAGGGGGCAUAUAAGCAGACAAUGAAACCUCUUACAAUAUUAGAUUAUGACAUUUCUCAAAAACAGGUUAUAGGCUACAUGUACAGCAUCACAGAGUCAGAACAGUAACACAAUUAAGAGGUGAAAACAGACCAAAUUAUAGGGUGAGGCACAUGAACUACUAACAGCUUACUACACAACAUACACUUAGUAUGGUGUCUUCCCUGUGGCUCAGUUGGUAGAGCAUGGUGUUUGCAAUGCCAGCAUGGUGUGUGCAACGCCAUGGUUGUGGAUUCGAUUCCCCCGGGGGGCCAGUCAUUUUUUAUUUUUUUUAAAUGCAUGAAAUGAAGUGUAUGCAUUCACUACUGUAAGUUGCUCUGGAUAAGAGUGUCUGCUAAAUGACUAAAAUGUAAAAUGUUAGUAUUACUUUCUUAGCUACAGUAUACAUAUCUCCCUUGCAUAUUACCUAAUUUAUGCAGCAGCAUACAAUACAUUUUUGGACUCACCUUGGCUUGUGAUGUGCUCACUUUCACAUGAAGGUGGCGUGGCCGUUUGUCAUCAAAGUCUGGCAUUUUCCAAACAAUUCAAACAAUUCAAUUCAUUUCCAAACAAUUCAUUGUUGAAUUUGCGAUUUCAAACUUGUUGUGUAAUCUUUAUGUCCAAUGGCCG